CGGUGAAUUGCAUCUAGAUCUUGUACACACCGCCCGUCACGCCACGAGAGUGAUAUAUACAGGAAAAUUUUCUAAAAAUUUUUUUAUUUUAUUUUAUUUUUAUUUUAAAAAAAAUUUUUUUGAAAAUUUAACGUGUAUAUUGUUAUUAGGGUGAAGUCGUAACAAGGUAAUCGUAGAGGAAUCUGUGGUUGGAUAAAAAUUAAAGAGCAUUGUCAGUAGCUUAAAGGUAAAGCGUUUGUCUGUUAAACAAAAGCAUAUAGGUUCAACUCCUAUCUGACACGACAUUCUUUUUAAUUUAUGUCGUAUAAAGGUAAUACGACGGUUUGCAAAACCGUAAAUGUAAGUUCAAGUCUUACCAUAACCUU
rnacentral:rRNA from 1 species